rnacentral:rRNA from 1 species
CCCUUAGAUGUUCUGGGCCGCACGCGCGCUACACUGAUUCAUGCAACAAGUUUUGUCCUUGGCCGACAGGCUCGGGCAAUCUUUGAACGCUGGUCGUGAUGGGGAUAGACUUUUGCAAUUUUUGGUCUUCAACGAGGAAUUCCUAGUAAACGCAAGUCAUCAACUUGCAUUGAUUACGUCCCUGCCCUUUGUACACACCGCCCGUCGCACCUACCGAUUGAAUGGUCCGGUGAAGCCUCCGGAUUGGCGCGCACCUCGGUGCCGCCGAGAAGUUGGCUAAACCUUACCAUUUAGAGGAAGGUGAAGUCGUAACA